CAAGAGAAAAGCUGUCUUUAUAUUAAAGUUUGAAUUUAACUUUUAAGUGAAAAGGCUUAAAUAUUCUAAAGGGACGAUAAGACCCUAUAAAACUUUACAUUAAUUGUUAAUAUUUUAUUUAAUUUUGUUUAUUACAAAUUUAAAUUUAAUUUUUUGUUAUGUUGGGGAGACAAAAGCUAUAAUUUAUAUUAACUGCUUGAAGAAAAAUCAAUAAAAUUUAUCUGACUUAUAUUUAUAGAUCCUUUAUAAAGAUUGAAAGAUUAAGUUACUUUAAGGAUAACAGCGUUUUUUUUUUUGAGAGUUCAUAU
rnacentral:rRNA from 1 species